rnacentral:rRNA from 1 species
AAUCAACGCUGGCGGCGUGCCUCAGACAUGCAAGUCGAACGCGAAAGUCCCCUUCGGGGGACAAGUAGAGUGGCGCACGGGUGAGUAACACGUAGGUAAUCUACCUUCGGAUGGGGAAUAACAAUCGGAAACGGUUGCUAAUACCGCAUAAUGCAGCGGCACCUAAUGGUGACAGUUGUUAAAGCGGGGGAUCGAAAGACCUCGCGUCUGAAGAGGAGCCUGCGGCGGAUUAGCA